rnacentral:siRNA from 1 species
UCUUGGUAUACCGUCUCGUAUUAC